rnacentral:lncRNA from 1 species
UUGCUGCCGGUUUUUGAUCGAUCCUUGAUUAAUUACCCUCUGAAAUUGGACGCGAUUUACUGGAAAAAUGCUCAGAGAAUCCCCUUGCAGUCGCGCCACCCUUCCCUACCGACGAACCGUGUUCGAUCGACCUACACUUUCACCCAAUCGGAGAUUAAGAAACUGAAGAACUCGAUUCAGGAAAGGAUUCCAAAUUUAGCUCACCUCUCAUCUUUCGUCGCGAUCGCAGCUUAUAUCUGGACUAUCAUGGCGAAAUCACUCAGAUCUGAAGCAGACAACGACGGCGACGGCGACGCGUUUUUCUUAAUUCCGAUCGAUUUACGGCCGCGUUUGGAUCCGGCGGUUCCGGGGAACUACUUCGGCAACUGCCUGUCCUUCGCGCUGCCGAGGAUCGGGCGGCGGGAGCUGGCCGGAGAGGAGGGGCUGUUUCUGGCGGCGGAGGCGGCGGCGGCGGCGAUAGAGGAAAGGACGGGCGACAAGAAGAUUCUAGAGAGUGUGGAGAAAUGGUCGGGCGAGAUCCGCCAGGCGUUGCAGGAGUCGUUCUUCUCGGUAGCCGGGUCGACCCGGCUGGAUCUAUACGGGGCGGAUUUCGGGUGGGGCAGGGCGAGGAAGCAGGAGAUAUUGUCGAUUGAUGGGGAGAAAUAUGCGAUGACGCUUUGCAAAUCAAGGGAUUUUGUGGGAGGAUUCGAGGUUUGCUUGUCUUUGCCCAAGGACAAAAUGGAGGCUUUUCAUGCUUAUUUUGCCAAGGGAAUUAAUUAACCUUAAUAGUAUGUGUGUGUUUCUUAAUUUGUAUGAAAUUUUUUUCACUCAAAAAAAAAAUUGUAUGAAAUUUUAUAGUAUUUUGUUACAUAUGUAAUACGGUGGAGUAAGAUGGAGGCUGUGUUUGUGAUAGUACUUCGGGCCCUAAUGGUUUCUCCUCUCUUUUUAUUAGCACUGCUGGGACUUUGUGGGAGUGACGUGAUUGCUACGGUCCAGGAUUUUUUCCUGGCAAUUUCAUGCCCCGAAGCUUUACUGCUACUACUAUCGUCUUGCUCUCUAAGAAGACGAACCCGGAGACUUGGGACUGACUAUCGUCCUAUUAGCCUUUGUAACACCCCAAUUGGAGAGCCAAUCCANAGCAAACAUGGCGAGUGCCUGCCGGUUUUUGAUCGAUCCUUGAUUAAUUACCCUCUGAAAUUGGACGCGAUUUACUGGAAAAAUGCUCAGAGAAUCCCCUUGCAGUCGCGCCACCCUUCCCUACCGACGAACCGUGUUCGAUCGACCUACACUUUCACCCAAUCGGAGAUUAAGAAACUGAAGAACUCGAUUCAGGAAAGGAUUCCAAAUUUAGCUCACCUCUCAUCUUUCGUCGCGAUCGCAGCUUAUAUCUGGACUAUCAUGGCGAAAUCACUCAGAUCUGAAGCAGACAACGACGGCGACGGCGACGCGUUUUUCUUAAUUCCGAUCGAUUUACGGCCGCGUUUGGAUCCGGCGGUUCCGGGG